CUAAGCCAUGGUGAAGAAUGACAAUCACAUUUGCAUGACAAAGCCAAAACCUGAAGCAAACUUCUCUCAGUUCCUCUGAAGAUUCAUCAUCUUAGACUUGUUCAGAAAUAGUUGUCAAAGUCAUUACAGAGCUCACUGCUGGUGUGUGUAUAUGUACAUACGAUGGCCCAAGCUAUGGAUAAGCUGAGUUUUCUUCAUUCUGACGACACUUCUCAGUAGACCAACGAUUGAUGUUUCUUGGGAAGCAAUCAAUCUCCUCUGCUGAUUGCGAUGACCAAAGGAGCGGUAGAAAUCAAGAACUCAAGGCCAAUCCACGUGUCACCGCUCCUGGUCAACUCCUACCGAGUCAAACUGACUUGUCAACUCCCACGAAUUCUUCUUGCUGACUUGUGAUGGCUCAGGCGCCAUUGAUUGGAUGCCUGCCAUUCUAGAAGCUGGAAUGUGGCCAAAAUGGUGGUCGUGCAGAAACCACGCACGCAACCGUUUGGGCAUUGCAAGUCAGACAAACCUUUUAUUAUUGACCAGAGAACACCAACUUUGCAUUUGAUAGUGUGCCAGCCUGAGCCAUAUAUACUCCGUGUCCUGCUCCUCCUGCUUCACACACACACAAGAGAAGAGAGGAGAGAGAUGGAGGUGCCCAUCAAGUUCUACAGGGGCAUCAACUCCUACUGGAGGAGGAGGAAGUACCAGAAGCUGGAGAGAUCGUCGUCACCCGGGCAUAAGAAGGUGACGAAGCUCGGGGCUGUGCGGGGGACGAGGCGGUGGUUCGUGAGGCUCCGGCGGAGCUUCCGGUUCAGGAUCAGACUCCCUUCCCCGGUCCGGCUCCUGGUCCGGCUCAGGGACGCCUACGUCGACUGCAUGCUGGCCAUGGCCGGGAAGGCGCCCGGCCUCUCCACCAAGAAUGGACCGGACGUCUGGUCGAAGAGGAUCCCCACGUCUCGAUCGACGAAGAUCAAAUCGGUUGAGUUCGAGCGGAGGUUAAUAUGCGAGAUCUACAAGUCCCUCGUCAUCUCCGGAGAGCUGUGAGAACCCCUUCCAAGAGCAUGAGAAGACGGAUAGGAAGAACAAGGUGAAGAUGGUGGAGGAGUCUGAGGGAACAAGAAGAAGCCCACUUCUUCGCUUCCAUCUUCUAUUUAGUGCUUUUGUACUUUUGACAAGCCUUUUGAAAUUUCCUUCCCCCUUUUUUUUUUAUGUUAUUUUAUUUUUCUGUUCCUCACUCAUUUUGGGUUGGGACUUCCUCUACUGUAAAGUCUAUCAUCAUGUAAACUAGUAUUAUGUACUGUGGAAUCAUCAUCUUCAUCCUA